rnacentral:rRNA from 1 species
UACGAAGGGGGCUAGCGUUGUUCGGAAUUACCGGGCGUAAAGGGCGCGUAGGCGGUGUGUCAAGUCAGGCGUGAAAGCCCCGGGCUCAACCUGGGAACCGCGCUUGAGACUGGCACGCUAGAGUUCGGGAGAGGAUGGUGGAAUUCCCAGUGUAGAGGUGAAAUUCGUAGAUAUUGGGAAGAACACCGAUGGCGAAGGCAGCCAUCUGGACCGACACUGACGCUGAGGCGCGAAAGCGUGGGGAGCAAACAGG